rnacentral:lncRNA from 1 species
AUGGCGCGGACAAAAUGGUGGCGGGGAGGAAGGGCACAAACCCGCCGAGUUCAGCGGGCAGCGAGCGGGGGGCUUGGCGGGGAGCCCCCUGCCCAGCGGAACGGCCCCGGGGGCACCUGCAGCAGCGGGGCCAGCCCGGGACCCGCUGCCGGUGAAGGGCUCGGUGCCAAGCAUGGGGCAGUGCCAGGGAAGCCGCUCGGCGUUGAUUUCCCAGCAAGUGGUUUUGUUUUCCCCGCUGCUCCAGCUCCCUCCCGGUGUUUUAUUUCCCCCACGCCAGGGAUGGAUCGUGGUGGGGUGGACCCAGGCCCGCUGUCCCCCGCCUCGCCCCCAUCCUUCAGCCGUGUCCCCAGGCUCUGCUGUUUUGGGGCCAGGUGCGAAUGGAGCCGCAUCUCCCCAUGUGCCGCUCCCAGCACCGGCCCCGUUCCUGACCUGGGGGGGUCACGUUCCCCCUGGCCGGGGGCUGUGCACACCGGGAGCCCCGGAGGCUCCGUGGGGCUGAGCCCGUGCACCGGGACCUGCACCGUACCGGAGCCUGCGGCUGCCACUGCGCCCAUGGGUGCGGCUGCCUGGGGUGCUCCAGCCCUCUUUCCAGGGAUUUUAGUCCCAAAUUUUGUCUUGGAUGUGCAGCCAUCAGCAGCGUUCCCGGUCCCCAAGAGCAGAUUGACUCACUACAGCCACACCGGGGAGGCUGCAAAGCCCCCGUGGCAGGACCUGGGGGGCUGUUUGGGGUCUGUAAUCCCCUUAUGGGAUUUCUGCCCUUCUUGGCACCGGGGGCUGGCUGUGGGCCCCCCAGCCCUGUGCGGAUGGGCACCUCACGGCCCUGCUGUGAGGGCUGCAGGGCCGGGGCACGGGGCCCCGCCGAGCUGGCGCGGCGUGCUGCGGCUCGGCACGCAUCGCACCCAGCCCUCUCCCCCUCCCCGCGCCCAGCUGGCGGGGGAAAUAACAAUUAAUAAUACUGCUAAUAAUGCCAGCGGGGCUGUUCGGAGCGGCGGGGGCAGAGGGGCACGUUGCUGCAGCUGUGGCUGGGCAGCCUGCAGGUCCCUGCUGGCUGCUCCGUGCUUACAGCCCCGGCUCUUGUUGUGCCAGGGGGGGGACCUCGGCGCGGCUGCGGAGCGCGGACGUGGUCUGGGCACCAUCCGAGCCAACGCUCUGCCCCUCGCCAAACAUUUCCCACCCUGGCGUCCUCAUCCUGCUGGAGAUACCCUGGGGCAGAGGGCACCUUCCCUGCCUGGCAGGAGGCCGGCACACGCUCCUUGCCUCCCCCAGACCGUCUCCCCCCCAGCCCUCCCCAUGCGCUCUGCGGUCCCAGCGCCGUGCUCCAGCCCGGAUCGGGCUCUGGCCGUGCACCACGGUGGGAAAACGGCUCCAGGACUCGGGUGCCUCUCCCAAGCCUGUGCUUGCUCCCUGCUCCUUCCGUCCCCAUGCCAGCUCCAUCGCCCCCUCCCUGUCUGCUCCUCGCUGUUUCCCCCUUCCUGCCCCAGCAGCUUUUUAAUCCUUUCACGCCUGAGUCAGCCGGAAAGAGAAAGCAACUUACCUCCAGCCGGGGCUGCUGGAGCCCUUGGGUCCCGCGGGGCCGGGGAGCCCUGA